AACCACCCCGCAGGAGAACGCCGUUCCUCUCGAUCCCCUCCUGUCACCGCCGCCGUCCGCUCGAUCCCCUCCCAUCGCCGCCACCAUCCUCUGGAUCCCCUCGAGUAAGCGCCGCCGCCGUUGGCUCCCGAUCUCCCGAUCUCCUCGAUUAAACGAGAUCGCCGCAGCCGCUGCUCCUCCUCUCCCGGGACGCAGCCGCCACCGCCGAACCAGGGAGACGCCAGCGACCUUCGCUGCCGUCGCGGAUCACCAGGAAGCCACCGCCACCGUCGCGCCUCGGAUAUGUCGCGGAUCACCGGGACGCGGCCGUCGCGGAUCAGGAACACCAGGACACCGCCGGCGGCGGCCCCUCGGAUACCGGCAACCGGCGGCGAUUGAGACCAACGAGGCGGCACCACACCCCUGGUACUUCCCUUCCCCAUCCGCCAAUCCUCUACCCCCUCCCCCCUCCUCUACAAAGGCCCGUGCGGCCCUGUCCCUACGACCUCGCCGGCCACGACCAGGGAUGGCUGUGCAUCCCGACGCCUCUCUUCUCCAUUGAUCCCCAUCUCCUCAAGGUGAAUCUUCUCCAGAAGGUCCCCUCUCCUCCCCGACGAGUACUCGCUUCCUUACAGGCAGGGGCAGAUCCACCAUGGGACAUGGGUGUACAGAUGCACAUCCAAAUUCUUUUGCCAAAAAUUCGUAUAUAGAUAUUGUUGCUAUUGUGAAAUUCGUAUUGCUGUGAACCAAUUGGCUUGACUAUUAGGGUGCAAAAAAAAGAGCACUCAAUAUUGAAUUUCUGGAUCCGCCACUGCUUAUACAGGCACGUAGUAUGGGCUGACUGUCAGGGUCCUGACACGGGCUCUCCUUGUCCUGAUCUGAUCUUGAUGCUACUCGGUCAAUCUAUGAUGUUUGUUUCCUGUGUUUACAUGGCAGAGUGGUUGCUGCACUCGCUUUUGGAUGUGGAUGCAAGUUGGGAACUCAUUCAGUGAUUUGAGGGUGCAGGUAGAGAUGAUGCUGCGGAUGGGAUGGGAAGAUGCGUGUGUGCUAGCUGCCAUUGCAGGGACUUUUUAUUUUUCGGAUAGUUCAGCGUCUUAUUACGAAUCUGAUAGUGCUAUCUGCCACACAUACACCAUGUUACGAAUCUAUUUACAUGCGACUCAGAGAAAGAAUUGCUUUGCAGGCUGCCAACAUCACGAAUUUCAUACUUAUGGAGUGGAGCCACCAAACUAUUUAUGAGGAAAUAUGUUGAAGCACCGAAUAUAUUCCAUUUGCAGUGGACAAACAGAACAACACAACACAUAAGCAGAGGAAAGACAUGGUUGCUCUUGCUUCAUCUAAAUAGGCCGUCUGGAAAGCCAUGAGACCAGGUUGUACUAUCAUUUUGAAUUUGUUUACUAACACCACAACUACCACAUCCUCGCUAAACGACAGAGGUUGCUAGCAACUGCACGUGGAAAGAUUGAAUGUGAUAUUCUGUCUACUAAUCAAUAGUGUAUUACUAAAACUACAUAUUGAUGACUUUUUAAACAACAUAUAGUAUUGUCCCCAGUUCUGCUUGAUUUGAUUUGUAUUUCCCAUCAGUUUUGUGUUUUGUCAGAGAAUGGUUUUUCUUUACCUACGGUAGUCCCUGUACUCAGGUAAAUCCUUUUGCAUCAUUUCACUAUUGGUUCUGUCGUAAUUGUAUUAGAAUGGGAUUGCAACAUGUGGGCUCCAACAAACAUAAUUUCAAAAUUGCACGUUAUUUGUAUGACAUAAAACUAAAUGAGAUAUCACUCAACUCACAUGAACUUUGGAUAACAUUGUAGUUAAACAUUGAUUACUUGCAAUGCAUUAGCAACCCCAAAAUGUUAGAACUGAAUCUUGAACGCUUGUAACAAAAUUUUACCAACCUCAAGAAUUUAAAGAGAAAGAAAGGUUUGCACUUACAUUCCUGUUAGUCCACUGCCAAUUCAUAGUAUUGUUAGGAUUUCUGGGAUCCUACAUUUUGACUAUUUAGCUGAUCCCAAGUUAUUUAUAUAGUUUUAUCCCAUUACAUCAGAUCUUUUUGGUUGCACGUAUUAAUUUACUGAUUGUGUACUGGAAGCAAUUUACUGACUUGUGUAGUAUUUAGCUGAUCCAAGGUUAGGCUUUUAAGUUUUCUCUCAUCACACCAUUGCAUUUUAGAAUUUUGUAGCUAAAAGUUUCUAUUAAAUUGGUGCCCGUAUUAGAGGGAGGCAUCGGUUAACUAAGGAUAUCGUCGCAUGUAUAGAGACCUCCAGUCCAGCAUGUCAAGGUUGCUCUGUGCGGGCUCGAUUAGAGGGGGCAUGGACUUUAUUAAGAACAAGUGAGUGCCGUCCUGUAUCAAGUGCAUGUCAUGGGUUUGAUAAUAUCUUAAAGAAUCAAUUUGUACUACAUUAUUCGCUGGAGGUAGCAUCACGAUGACGCAGAAUUAAGGACUCGUGAUUGGGAGUGUCUAAAAAUUUAUCAACUAUUCUGAUGUUCCAUAAAUCGUUAGUUUACCGAAAAAGGAAGGAGCUACCAUCGCGGUUUGAUUGCGUUCAUCUUGGACUAAUCAUGAUCAAUUUGAUGAGGCCUCCAUCAGUUUCGUAUAGGUUGUGCUAAGGAUUCAACAAAUUAUGAGAAACCUGACGUCGAAAGAUAGUGAUAGACCAUCGGAUGAAGUUUACUAUAUGUUUUUGUCUUUACCAUGUUUUUUCUUAUACCAUGUUGAUUUUCAAAUAAAGUGCAAGUUCUGAAUGAAAGAGUAGACAUUUUCUUAUUGAUGUCAAAUUUUGCAACAAAUUUUUUUGCCUUACCAAUCAUGCGGUGUGGGUGCUCACCGGCGCUGGAGCUGAGGUGAGGCGAAUUCAAAACUUCACCCAAAUGUCCGGAUUUCUCAUAUUUCCGGCUUGGAAUGCCCAGAUUUCUUGUUUCCUUGGCUUAUACUUUGGGUCUUGCACCUUUUCUUUAUAGGUUCUGCGAAUUCUUUUGUUUAGGGAUCCGAUGGAGAGCUCGGAUAUGGCAUCGCAGCCGUUGAGCGACAGGGUCACGCCGAAGCUCCUCCUCGGCUGCACGGAUUGCGUCACUGUCAUGCCGGGCGAGCCGCAGACUGGAUCCGGAAAGACAUAUACGACGGGUACCAAUUAUACUGGUGAAGCUGAUCGUGGAGGAAUAAUUGCACCUCUCAUGGAGACGAUAUUCAGGAAAUCUGAUGCGAUGAACCGUCAGACAGAGUUCUUAAUUAGGGUAUCCUUCAUCGAGAUAUUCAAGGAGGAAGUAUUUGAUUUACUUGAUGAUCAUGGGUCUGUUGCAAAAGUGGCAGCGCCUGCUAGAGUGCCUAUUCAGAUUCGACAAAACUGCAAAUGGAAGCAUUACACUUGCUAGCGUGAUGGAGGCUAAGGUCAAGUCAAAAGAAGAUAUGGGCCAUAUGGACAUGCACUUGGCACGAGGAUCUUCGUCACGCGCAACUGAAAGUACAAACAUACAUAGCCAGGCAAGCUAGGUGAUUACAGAUCAACAGGAUGCAUGCAUACGCAAGGUUAGGGUAGUUCUAGGGAGAUCUAUUGUUGCUACACAUUAAUGGCUGUUGUUUUACAAAAUCCUGAUACAUCAUGUUCUCUGUAGUGCGUUGCUCUUUUGGUUGAUACGUGCAAGUAAUGUAUGCCGAUUGGAAGUUGAUCAGCAUGCGUCAGAUAUGAAGAGAGGGAGGCAACACAAUGGACAUCAAUCGAGUUUCAGAAAUAAAUGUUCAUAUAAUCAAAUUUCAGGAUUGUUCAUCUUCAUAGGUUAAUUCGUGAACUCUAUUUUAUAGGUUCACUUCUUACAUAGGGACAAAUUAGGUGUCACAAUCCUGAACCCCCUGUUCAUGUUGGGUCUUCAAGGAGCUUACUUAGCUUGACCUUGUGGUUUUGAUCUGGUGAAUCACAAGCUAACAAUAAUCUGUUGUAUGACUACAGUGGAUCCUUUAAAAAAUAGGCGUCCAACAACUGUUUAUAUGAUCAACUCUGAAAUAGUAACACAACAAAUGACAACAGAUGGUAGUUUGGCAUUUAUGAUCAACUCCUAUGAAAUAGGUACAAAUCAAAUGACCAGAUACUUAUCCAAAAAUGAUGAACUAUUUUCCCAUUGACAACCAUCAAGUAUUGUACAAUUUGAUGUACGUAUAUGGAUGAUGAAUUUGCGAUGAUGAGGCCUUUAGCUACUAAUCCAUUUCUCAUGAUUUUCUGUGCCUUUUAUUUGGGGUUUUUUAGAAGCCCUUGUUAUCUAUUAUUUGAAACUUUUAAGUCCCAGAGAUUGCACAUAUGCUGGAGAGCUCAGUUCUUCUUUUCUUUAGAUCGGGCUGCAAAGCAAGUUGCUGAUGAAGUGAAGUAGAUGAUUCAAAAUGAGAAGAAAUUCACUGUAUUUAUUUACGAUAGUGAACUUGAAUUGUUUUGGUAAACAAUUUCGUGAGCUGGCAUUACACCUAUUUUGGUAAACUAUUUCGAGAGCUGGCAUUAUAUCAUCCGUUGCGGCUCUUAUUUCAUGUGCCUUCUUGAAAGAGCACAUGUAGAAGAAAAUAUGGUGAAAUAAUAAAGUUUGUAGAGCAAGACAAUGGAUUCCAUCAACUCCCAAGUCUCAAGUUCUUCAUGUUUUCUGACCUAAAUAUUAACGUGAGGUGAAUGAAGAUGAUGUCAUGUCUUGUUGCAGGGUGAUUGAGGAGUAAAUGCAAAGGUACAAAGAGUAACUGAUAAGUGUGUUUGAACAAUGAUAGUUGUUCACAUUAGGCAUUUGCAUAGGUACUGUGUGCAGUUGCAACCCCCACUCAUAUGUGUGAAUUGAAUCUACUUCCUUUUCUUCCUGUUCAAAUAUAGGAGCUGCAAGAGUGGUGGACAUGCAACACAGGGAGGUGAAAGAAGGGAGGAUCAGGAAGGAUGGAGGGAGGUGACAAAGCUGGGAGAAAGGAGGGAGACACCAAGGAAGGUGGCAUGGGAAGAAAGUGAAGUUGUGGCCCAAGGCUAGAGUGUGAUCGUGUAAAAUUGUUACCUUUCCAUCAAUGCUCAGGUUCAUUGUCAUUUUUAAAGUCUGGCACUUGAAGAUCUACACAAUUGUUGUCGAGGAAGAUGAUAAACUCAAUGAGGAUGAUAAUUGGGGUUAUUGUGAAGCUCGAUGUUUGGUGGAGUACUCUCGCGGUAAAGAGGACAAGGCAUGCAAACAUGAGUAACCGAUAGGUUUGUGUAAUCACUUCCAUUUUUUCUAGGAACAUUGAAUAUAAUUGAUUUUGUAAAGAAAGCGGUAGAGAAGACUGUACUUUUGGACCUUCAGGUGAAGCGGGAAUUAUAUCAUUGUGAUAUCAAAUAAUUGUUCAUUGAUUGUUUGAAUGAGUUGUUGACA